GAACUUAAGCAUAUCAAUAAGCGGAGGAAAAGAAACCAACAGGGAUUGCCCUAGUAACGGCGAGUGAAGCGGCAACAGCUCAAAUUUGAAAUCUGGCGUCUCCGGCGUCCGAGUUGUAAUUUGUAGAGGAUGCUUCUGGGCAGCCACCGGUCUAAGUUCCUUGGAACAGGACGUCAUAGAGGGUGAGAAUCCCGUAUGCGACCGGACAGGCACCCUCCACGUAGCUCCUUCGACGAGUCGAGUUGUUUGGGAAUGCAGCUCUAAAUGGGAGGUAAAUUUCUUCUAAAGCUAAAUACCGGCCAGAGACCGAUAGCGCACAAGUAGAGUGAUCGAAAGAUGAAAAGUACUUUGGAAAGAGAGUUAAAAAGCACGUGAAAUUGUUGAAAGGGAAGCGUUUGCAACCAGACUUGCUCGCGGUGUUCCGCCGGUCUUUUGACCGGUCUACUCGCCGCGUUGCAGGCCAGCAUCGUCUGGGGCCGCCGGAUAAGACGUUAGGAAUGUAGCUCCCUCGGGAGUGUUAUAGCCUAUCGUGAUGCGGUGCGUCCCGGGCGAGGUCCGCGCUUCGGCUAGGAUGCUGGCGUAAUGGUUGUAAACGGCCCGUCUUGAAACACGGACCAAGGAGUCUAGCAUCUAUGCGAGUGUUCGGGUGUCAAACCCCUACGCGUAAUGAAAGUGAACGGAGGUGGGAACUUUUUGUGCACCAUCGACCGAUCCUGAUGUCUUCGGAUGGAUUUGAGUAAGAGCAUAGCUGUUGGGACCCGAAAGAUGGUGAACUAUGCCUGAAUAGGGUGAAGCCAGAGGAAACUCUGGUGGAGGCUCGCAGCGGUUCUGACGUGCAAAU
rnacentral:rRNA from 1 species